rnacentral:rRNA from 1 species
UAGUCCACGCAGUAAACGAUGAGUGCUAGUUGUCGGGAUUUUUCUCGGUGGCGAAGCUAACGCGUUAAGCACUCCGCCUGGGGAGUACGGCCGCAAGGCUAAAACUCAAAGGAAUUGACGGGGACCCGCACAAGCAGUGGAGCAUGUGGUUUAAUUCGAUGAUACGCGAGAAACCUUACCUAGACUAUAAUGUGAUCGACGAUUAAGGAAACUUAAUUUUCCCUUCGGGGACGAGAAACAAGGUGCUGCAUGGUUGUCGUCAGCUCGUGCCGUGAGGUGUUGGGUUAAGUCCCGCAACGAGCGCAACCCCUAUUUUCAGUUGCCAGCGAGUAAUGUCGGGGACUCUGGAAAGACUGCCUCCGUAAGGAGUGAGGAAGGUGGGGACGACGUCAAAUCAUCAUGGCCUUUAUGUCUAGGGCUACACACGUGCUACAAUGGUAGAUACAAAGGGUUGCCAAGCCGCGAGGUGGAGCUAAUCUCAUAAAGUCUAUCCCAGUUCGGAUCGGAGUCUGCAACUCGACUCC